UGAGUCUUCUUCCUUUAGGUU
rnacentral:piRNA from 1 species